GAUUGGAUAGUAAGCUUUACAAUAACCAAUGAGAAUGAUUGUAACAAACUAAAUAAAUGGCGGUUUAUUAUUUUGUUUAGGAAAAGCAGUUAACCGAAAGCUGUAUGUCUCAUCUGGUCAUGAUAAACAGUUACAAAGUAAACAUGGUGUCAUUAAACCAGGGACCUAUACUUGGGAUGCCUGCAUAAACCACAUGUGGCAGAUGAUUUUAUGGUGCAGAUAAACAAGUGUAAUGCUCCCGAAGAAUGUUUGGGCCAAACAAUAUCUAAGAAACAAAAAGUUGAUAAAAAUGCAGAAAGAUAUGGCCAAUUCAUUGAAGGUGACGACAUGCAGGUGUGACUGUAUGCACGACUGUUACUGCUGCCUGGAUAUUAUGUGAGCAAGAAACACGUCUGGAUUAUAAUUUGGACACACAUGUACAGCUGUUUUGUGAAUAUGAUAAAUUAUGUAUGCUAUAUUUGCAUUUUUGAUGGGUUUUUAGAUGUUUAAUGUUCAAUACAUCAGACAAACUCUGAAGUUUUUUUUUAAAUAGAAUAUUAAUUUAUAAAACAAAAUCCCAUGAACUACAACCAUAUGUUUAUAGCUUUACACUUCAAGAACAACUAUUUUUGUGUAUUAUGAUUAUAUAUUUGUUAAUGAGAUACAAUUUUGAGUUGAAAUAUUAUGAAUUUUGUUAUGCCGGCGUAAUAUUUGAUUUUGGUCUGUAAAUAAGAAAUUAUUGGAAAUGCCAGAGAUUCGCUUAUGAGUUGGAAUGUUUUAAAUUUUGUCACGCCGGCAUAACAUUUUAAAUUUUUGUCUGUAAAUAGGAAAUGUUUGGACAUUUAUCAGCCAUUCACUUUCUGUAGAAAUGUUAUGAAUUUGUUACGCUUGUAUAGCAUUUAGGUUUGGGUCUGUGAAUAUGAAAUUAUUGGAAAUACAAGAGAUUAACUUAUGAGUUGAAAUGUUUGGAUUUUUGUUAAGCUGGCAUAUUAUUUUGAAUUUGGGUCUGUAAAAAGCAAUGAUAGGAAACUUGAGAGCAAUGCACUUUCUGUGGAAAUAUUACUUAUUUUGUUAUGCCGUCUUAACAUUUGAGAUUGGGUCUGUAAAUAAGUAAUUAUUUGAAAUGCAAGUAAUUUACUUUUAAUUUAAAAUGUUUGGAAUUUUGUUACGCUGGCAUAACAUCUUAUGUUUUAGUCUGUAAAUAAGAAAUCAUUCGAAAUGCAAGUGAUUCACUUUGAGUUGAAAUGUUUGGAAUUUUGUCACACUGGCAUAACAUUUACAGUUUUGGUCUGGAAAUAAGAAAUCAUUAGGAAUGCAAGCGAUUCACCUUUGAGUUAAAAUGUAAUGAAUUUUGUUUAGCUGGCGUAACAUUUUUUUUUGUUUUCAAAAAAUUAGCAUGUCAAAAUUAUCGCAAAAAAACCCUGUAAAACACCCCUUUUAAUUGGGAUUCAUGGACAUUCCAUUUUUAAAAUAGACAGAUUUUUAUGAAUUUUGUGAGUUUGUACCGCCAGCGUAACAUUUAAAGUGGAAUGAUUUAUUUGGUGAUGUUAUAAUGAACCUUUGUGAGUUUGUACCGCCAGCGUAACAUUUUCAAAGAAUUAUCUGUCUAUGUGAUUAUGAACCUUGGGGAGUUUGUACCGCCGGCGUAACAUUUUUAUUUUUCUGUCAAAGUGAUUAUGAAUUUUGUGAGUUUGUAACGCCAGCGUAACAUUUAAAGUGGAAUGAUUUAUUUGGUGAUGUUAUAAUGAACCUUUAUGAGUUUGUACCGCCAGCGUAACAUUUUCAAAGAAUUAUCUGUCUAUGUGAUUAUGAACCUUGGGGAGUUUGUACCGCCGGCGUAACAUUUUAGUUUUAUUUUUCUGUCAAAGUGAUUAUGAAUUUUGUGAGUUUGUACCGCCAGCGUAACAUUUAAAGUGAAAUGAUUUAUUUGGUGAUGCUAUAAUGAACCUUUGUGAGUUUGUACCGCCAGCGUAACAUUUUCAAAGAAUUAUCUGUCUAUGUGAUUAUGAACCUGGAGUUUGUACCGCCGGCGUAACAUUUUAGUUUUAUUUUUCUGUCAAAGUGAUUAUGAAUUUGUGAGUUUGUACCGCCAGCGUAACAUUUUAAGUGGAAUGAUUCAUUUGGUGAUGUUAUGAACCUUUGGAAGUUUCUACCGCCAGCGUAACUUUUUUUUAAAUGAAAUUAUUUAUUUGGUGAUGUUAUAAUGAACAUUUGGGUGUUUGUACCGCCAGCGUAACAUUUAAGUUGAAUUAUUUGUUGAUGUUAUACUGAACCUUGGGGAGUUUGGACUGCAAGCAAACGUUUUCAGUUAAAUUUUUCUGUUGAAGUGAUUAUAAAAUUGGAGAGUUUGUACCGCCAGCGUAACAUUUUAAGUUGAAUUUUUUAGUAGAAUGAAUUAUGUGUUGAUUUUAUAAAGGCAUUUGGAAGGUUGAACCGCCAGUGUAACAUUUUUAAGUUCAUUUAUCAUUUAUAUGAUGAUAUUAUAAUGAACCUUUGGGAGUUUGUACCGCCAGCGUAACAUUUUAGUUUAUAUUUUCUCUGGAAGUGAUUAUGAAAUUUUGAUAGGUUGUACUGCCAGCAUAAUAUUGAAUUAUGUUAUGAUGUGAUAAUAAACCUUUGGGAGUUUGUACCGCCA